AUGUACUCGUCGCAGUCGCUGAGCCGCGUCAACAACAUCCGCACCUUCCUCAUCAACGCGUAGAAAGGCAACCAGAACGCCGCCGCCUACUUCGCCUCCAUGCGCGGCCUCACGGACGGGCUUGCCGCCGGCGGCAAACCGAUCCAGGAUGACGAGCUCAUCUCGUAUAUCUUGCAUGGGCUGGAUAUGGAGUACCAGCCCCUCGUCUCGGCCCUCGACGCGCGCGUCACACCCGCCUCCCUCGACGAAAUCUUCUCCAUGCUCGGCAACUUUGACCAGCGCAUGGCACAGUUCCACGUAUCGGGCGGU
rnacentral:rRNA from 1 species